CUUUGCAUGUAACCUCUCUGAUUAGGGUUACUUGAGUAGUAGCAUUCCAACAGAUCCACAUUUCCGUCUUGUUCCAGUAGCCCAUUUGUCAUCAAGGUGCUCUGGUUCCCCAACACCUGAUGCAGACCUUGUUUGGCCGGGCGACGACUGAGCAUCUUAGGCAGUAGACUGGAUUUGAACCCCCGCCCUCUCGGGUGAUAUACUGAUGCCUUAUCUAUUGAGCUAUCCAGUCAGCUAUAUAACUGACUGGAUAGCUAUAUAAAUAUAUAUAUGUGAGAGAGUAUACAGUAUAAUGUUGACAAAAUAAGAAAUUUUUAGAGUAAUUCCACAUGCACCUCUUGAUCUGAAUUUGUUUGCCAUCAGAACAAACUGACUUGCUCCAGAGAUCUCUUUCUUGUCCUUCUGGCUGGACUCUGAUCAAUAGUCGCUGCUUUCAAUAUGUUCAAAAAAGCAUGACUUGGGCAAGAGUCGAGGUGAUUUCCAAUAACAUUGUGCUCUUAAUUUCUUUUGUUCUUUGCUGAAGAAAUCCAGCUACUUCUAACUUUUGUGUCUGUAGAGAAACUGUCUGUCCAUGGGGGCAAACCUUGCAUCAGUUCAGGAAUUGAACGAGUACAAUCAGAUUCAGAUUAUAAUAACUGCAGCAGGUCACGGGGCCAAACAAGCAUGGAUUGGAGGCACUAAUGCACAGGAGGAGAGCAUUUGGUUGUGUAGCGAUGGAAGCCGUUUCGACUACACACACUGGUGUUCUGGACAGAAUAAUAAAGAUGGAGGCAACCAGCGCUGUUUACAGAUAAACUAUUCAGGUGCAAAGUGCUGGGAUGACCUGGGGUCUAAUCACAAUCUGCCUUCUGUCUGCGCCAAGAAACCCUGAAAACUGUGAGGUUCCCAAAGAGGCCAGAUUUAAAACAGAACCAGUGGAGGGAUGAAGAUGAUCUCCAGGAUCCUGCUGCUCCUCAUCCUCAGCUCAUGUCUCUGUGCAGCAACAUUUGUAGUGAAUGUGACACAGAGCAGCUAUCAGGCAGAGGAGAACCACAGCAUCACUCUGGAGUGGACCUUCACCACCAGACCCGACUCCUCUCUGUCCUCCAUGUUUAUCCUCUGUGAACUUCUAGAUCCCCCUAGAGAAUUGGUUCUGUGUCACAUCCAUGAAGGAGUUGAGUUUCCAGAUUCUCAGGAUGAACAGUUUUCAGGACGAGUCCAGAUUGACAAAGACGUCCUCAGAGAAGGACGAAUCAGACUCCAUGUGUCCAGACUGAGGACUGAAGACUCUGGUCUGUAUCUGUGUGACGUGAAAACUGAAGAUGGAUUCAACUCUGGAAGAUGUCGACUCAGCGUUACUACAGCUGCUGAUGUUUCUCCAACCCAGAGAACGACCUUGGAUCCAGAACCAGAAGGUCGAGGAAGGAUCGGCCUCCAUGUUUCUCUGUUACUGACAGCAGCAGCAGCAGCAGCUCUGAUGGUCAAACUUUUCCUGACUCUCAGUUCAAAGGGUUGAUAUGGAUGAUGAUCCUGUGGGCAGGAAGGAGCUCCAGUAGCAGUCUGUGUUGGACUGAAUAUGAAGAAGCCUCUGACUGAAGACUGUUGCUGUUUGACCAAUUCAUGGCUGCAUGACAAGCAAACAAGUCAAAUAUCAGACAGCAGAGAAAAUAGUUCACUGAAACACUGGAUGACAUCAUCAGGCUCUGCUAAUCCACCUCAUCAGCUUUUGCUUCUCCUCUGUAGAGAGAGAGUAGAGGGAAGGAGAGAGAGAACACUAACUAGAAAACUAGGAACAUUAAUCUAACUGCUAAUGAGCUACUAAACACAAGUAAUGAAUAAACAUAAAGUAGAAAAUGACUGAACUAAAUUAAACCAGAAUCCAGGCUGAUCUGAUCAGAACCAGAACUAAGAAUCCAGAAAACCCAAAACAUCUCAGGAAGCUGCUGAUAAAAAGCAACAAAUAUUUAAUUUAAAUUUCUGUUUCUGUUGGAUUAUCUUUGAGCAGAACUAUACAAGUAAAGGUCGUUUACAGUUUCCCCGUUCUAAAAACAAAACAUUGUUAUGGUUACGCAACACUACAAAAGUCCAAAAGUAAAAAAUGUAAGAAGAAAGAUCCCUGCAACGACAAACCCAGAGGGAAACCAAAACAAGAACCAAUCAGAGCCGACGUAGCUGAGCUGCUCCAACAUGGCUGUCAUGGAAGAAAUUACUUUAGCAAGAGUCUGGAAGAGAAGAAAUAAGGAAUUUAUUAAAACCUUGCAAGGUGAGAACAGAAAUACAGAGUCGUAGGAAUCUGUCAAGUCUGCUCUGACCAACAGUGGAUCUGGUUUCCUUUUAUAGGUUCUGGUCAGAGAAGAGAGACUUGAUUGGACUAUAGGUGUGAAUCCCUGAUUGUGAUGUACCAGAGAUUCUGUGGAGACCAACACAGAUAGUCUGGCCAUUUGUCUGUUGUUAAGGAAAGGAGAUGGUUCUCUGAUGCUAAAGGAUAAAUUCUACGUUGGGAAGAAACUUUUAGAUCGUCUCCAGGAUCAAGGAGCUCCUGCUGUUCUUUGGUACAGCAGAGGCCCAUCUGAGAGCAGCUUGACCAAAAUCAUGAUAAGAUCAUGCAGACAACCUAAAGCAGAAGAGAGGUGAGGAGAACCUUAUAACAUUUUCUAUUACGAUGGCGCCUCCAUGUUUUCUCUGUUUAUUGAGAUCAAACUUCUGGACUUUGGUCUCAUCGGUCCAGAGGAUUUUGUUCCAGGAGUCGUUUGGUUCAGUUCUGAUGACUUUGUCCAGUUCAGUCCAGAUUAAUGGACGUUUUUACACAAGUUUAUAAUUUAAGUAAAAACCAGCUGGUGAAACGUUUAUAAUAAAUGUUAUUUUUAUAAACAACUGAAUGAUUUUUAUAAAUGUUUUUAUAUGUAAAAUAUUUUAAUUUAGUGAAUGAAUGAAUCGUAGUAAAAAAAUGAACAGAGUCUUUCCAUCUGUUGUUUUGAAUCAACUUUAAAAAGUUUGUUGAAGCAAAUUUAUUGAAGUCAUUUUUCUCAGAGCUUUGAUUCAGAAAGUAUUAAAAUUCAGUCAUUUCAAAUGAAUCAACAUGAAUCUCAAUGAAAAGCUGCCAGUGAGUCGUUUUCUCAGCUUUCAGCUCCAAAAGGUUCUGUGGAUCAGAACCAUCCAGUUAUUAAAGCUGAACAGCUGAGAGGUUUUGUUACUGUGAUCAGUUUAUCUGCUUUGUUUUCUGUUUCUGCUGUUAAAAUGUAAAUAAAUCAGUUUUAUAGAAAGAU